rnacentral:misc_RNA from 1 species
GGUUGGAUCAUUAUGGUAAAUGAAGUCGAAGAAUGGGCGUUAAAAACCCGGACUUUGCACUUUUGCUACCCCUUUGUGAACGUUUAUUGUAUUUUUGGCAGCCCGAUGUUAAGUAAUGGAAUGUUGUUCGGCGGGGUGAUAGGAGAGACUUUUUGGCGUUCGUUCGGCUUCUUUCGGUUUCGGGAGGGGUUUGAUGAACGAUGGGAGGUCUUUAAUGUUUUCCAAUCGAAUCACGUUAUGUUGUUUAAUGUUGAAGAUGGCCUGGGGGUUCGCCCUUAGUCCAUUGGUCUGCCAAAGUGUUUUAACUGACUAUUAUUUUAUUAUUUACCUAUGUCGUUCAGUAUUGAAAGGACCGUUAAAAGUUCUUUUGAGCUGUCAAAAAAAUUAUUACAACUUUAGACAAUGGAUCUCUUGGCUCUCGCAACGAUGAAGAACGUAGCGAAUUGCGAUAAGUAGUGUGAAUUGCAGAUUCCAGUGAAUCAUCGAAUUUUUGAACGCAUAUUGCACUCUUUGGUAUUCCGAAGAGUAUGCUUGUUUGAGAACCGUUUCGUCCCCUCACUUCGUGAUUUUACGCGUCAAGCGUAAUGGUCGCGCUUAAGUGGAUUUGGCUCUUUCCGUGACCCGUUAAAGGUCAUGGUGGGCUUAAAUGUAUUGAUUGGAGCAAUUGGCUUCGAGGUUUUAUGGUAAACCUGAUUUCGGAAAUUGGCUUCGAUUUAAGAUAAAUUGUUAGUGGUUAGUUCAGCAAUGGAUGAUGCCUUUUCGUUUAUUGGACAGUCGUUGCUCCCGGAGUUUUGGUUUGCUUUAUUCAUCGCCGUAUAUUGCAUACAACUCAAUUAUGCCAGGCAGCAUACGUUAAGUAUGUUGAUUACCUGAACUUUUGGUCUCAAAUCAAGCAAGAGUACCCGCUGAACUUAAGCAUAUCAAUAAGCGGAGGAAAAGAAACCAACAGGGAUUCCCCUAGUAACGGCGAGUGAAGAGGGAAAAGCUCAAUUUUGAAAUCUCGCUGCUUUGCAGUGCGAAUUGUAGUUUCUAGAAGCGUUUUUGGAGACAGUCUGGGCACAAGUCCGUUGGAACGCGGCACCAUAGAGGGUGAUAGUCCCGUUGUGUCUGGUACCUGUUUCUGUGUAAUACGUUUUCGAAGAGUCGCAUAGUUUGGGAAUGCUGUGCAAAAUGGGUGGUAAAUACCAUCUAAAGCUAAAUAUAGGCGAGAGACCGAUAGCGAACAAGUACCGUGAGGGAAAGAUGAAAAGAACUUUGAAAAGAGAGUUAAAAAGUACGUGAAAUUGUCUAAAGGGAAACGCUUGAAACCAGUAUCGCUUCUCGCAAAUCAGCCUUACGGUGCACUUUGUUGGAAGCGGGUCAGCGUCAGUUUGGUUUAAAGUUAAAACCUUGCGAAAGGUAGCUUCGGUGUUAUAUUCGCGAGUUCUGCUUUGGACUGGACUGAGGACUGCAGCCUUGUUUUGGGGAACGAGCAGCUCUUGAACUGGCACCUGUAAACAGCUUGCUGAUUAUGGAUUGUCAUUAGAGGCCCUGUUCGGUACCACUCUGGGCUUAGGAUGCUGACGAAAUGGUUUUAAACGACCCGUCUUGAAACACGGACCAAGGAGUCCAACAAAUAUGCGAGUGUUUGGGUGGUAAACCCGAGCGCGUAAUGAAAGUAAAUGUAGGUGGGAUCCCGCAAGGGUGCACCAUCGACCGGUCUGGAUUCUUUUGAAAGAUCUGAGUAAGAGCAUAUUUGUUGGGACCCGAAAGAUGGUGAACUAUGCCUGAAUAGGGUGAAGUCAGAGGAAACUCUGAUGGAAGCUCGUAGCGGUUCUGACGUGCAAAUCGAUCGUCAAAUUUGGGUAUAGGGGCGAAAGACUAAUCGAACCAUCUAGUAGCUGGUUCCCUC